rnacentral:rRNA from 1 species
CCGCGGUAAUACGUAGGGGGCAAGCGUUAUUUGGAAUUAUUGGGCGUAAAGCGUGCGCAGGCGGUUUGGAAAGAAGGAUGUGAAAUCCCAGGGCUCAACCUUGGAGCUGCAUUUUUAACUACCGGACUAGAGUAUGUCAGAGGGGAGUAGAAUUCCGCGUGUAGCGGUGAAAUGCGUAGAUAUAUGGAGGAAUACCAAUGGCGAAGGCAGCCCUCUGGGAU